UUAACAAAAACAUGUCUUUUUGCUUAUACUUUAAAGUCUGAUCUGCCCAAUGAAAAUUGAAUGGCCGCGAUAUUUUGAUCGUGCGAAGGUAGCAUAAUCAUUAGCUUUUUAAUUGAGAGCUGGAAUGAACGAUUGGACGAGAAAUUAACUGUCUCGGCUUUAUUUUUUGAAUUUUAUUUUUGAGUUAAAAAGCUUAAAUAUUAAUGUGGGACGAGAAGACCCUAUAGAGUUUAAUAUUUAUGCUUAAAAUUAGGAUUUUAGAAUCAAUUUUUCUUUUUGAGUAAAAUAUUUAGUUGGGGUGACGGAAAAAUUAUAUAAACUUUUUCUUUUUAAAAUAUUAAUUGAUAGGUAGUUGACUUAUAUUAUUAGUUAAAAGAUUAAAUUACCUUAGGGAUAACAGCGUUAUUUUUCUUGAGAGUUCUUAUCGAAAGAAAAGAUUGCGACCUCGAUGUUGGAUUAAAGUUAAAUUUUGGUGUAGAAGCUAAAAACAUUUAGUCUGUUCGACUAUUAAAACUUUACAUGAUCUGAGUU
rnacentral:rRNA from 1 species